GUCAAGUCCGGGCUGGCCGCGAGCACAGCAGGGGUUGGGACACCCAGAGUGCUCGGGGUCCCCCGUCCGGCGGGAGCCCCGCCCCUCCGGCGCCAGCCGGACGGCGGCGUGGCGGUAUCCCAGGUGACGCGGGUGUGAUGGUCAAGAGUGAGGCCAUGUUCACCGUCCCAGAGUUUUACUCCAGGAGAAAGCAGUUUGUCGGGCAAUCCUCUACCCGGCUGGACCAAUGUGGAUUACGACUAGGAAUGUGGUAUUGGAAAGACGAAACAAAAACUCUGGAAUUUAAAAGUUUCACACCUGCAAUAGAACUCAAGGAGAAAGGCAAGAAAGGGAAGGCGGUUCACUUUGCUGAGAUGGACAGCGGAGCUUCGGAAAGGUUGACAGAUAAAAGGUUUGCCUCAAGGGAUGAGAAGGCGGCUAAGGCUUUGGAGAAACGAAGUCAGCAGGGCAAUGUCACGCUGGAUGACGUCAAGUUUGUUGCCCUGCUGUCCCUCCAGGACACUGAAAUGCAGCGGAUCUGCUCCUUCACCACGUUUUUGAGGAAUAAGAAUCUUGACAGCUUCCUCAUGGCGCUGUUGUACUAUCUGUCUUAUUACCUGCAGAGACUCUCGAUGGAGAAGAAUCCCCAAAGCCGCGUGGUAGGCCUGAUAGAGAAGAAAGAGGUAGAGCUGGUUGUGAACAAGUUAGAAGAUGCACAGAAGUACCUGGCUCAGAAGUACUGCAUCCUCGUGCUGGGCUUGGGCAUGGCGGAUAAGCAUCACUUGAGCUGUGGAAAGUACGCAUGCGCAUCUGCUGCCCUUCGGCCAGCACAUCUCUAGCACCUCUCCAUCUGACUUCUGGUACCCUUGAGACAGUAUUUCCUUUAAUGGGGUUCAGGUGAAAAUCUGUCCCAAGCGCUAAUGAUAACUGCUUUGAAAGAGCCAAGGAGAAAAUAUCAGACACCCAAAAAGACUGGAAAUUCUUUGAGUCCUUUUAUACCUUCUGUACCUGUAUAGCCUGGAUCGUCUUCCGACGUCAGUACUUGACAGAGAUCGAGGAAGAGGUAGGCAGGCUUUUUCGGACCAAUAUGUUUAACAUUCCUCGAAGGAAGCAUGAAGACGAAGCGUCAGGAGGAGAGAAGAAGCGCAUGACAUUGGUACAGUUCAGGAGAAUGAUGGCAAAACGUCCAGCAAUUAAAAAGGCCGUGGACAUGCGCUCCCCAGUUUUGUCUACGCUGCUGCCGUCUCUCAGAGAAAAAGCUCAACAUAUCACAGAGAAAAAGUAUGUGGCAGGCAUCAAACUCCAACCCCGAGAGGAGAACAUAAUAACAGAUCUGGAAUCUGUGGCUAUGCCAAUAGUUGGCAUCUUGGGGGAGCCUCGAAAUCUGUUCAACCCGAAUACUCUCCUCCCCCUGGAAUUAGAAGAAAACACAAAACCAAGUGGAAGAAGUUCUUCCAUAGUCGAGACAAAUAACACAAAGAUCCAAAACACACUGAGUUUAGUCAUGUCAAAACUAGCUUCGCCAAGCACCUGCCCUAAAUAAUCUAAUUGGUUCCAGUUCCUUACCUAGGUCUCUAUAUUUGAAGUAACUACUUCUCCAUAGCACUUAUAGGAUUAAUAUUUACUAACAUAAAAUAGCUGUUUAAACUGUCAAAGAUUUUUUUGAAUCAAGUUCUGUUAAAAGUUAACAAUUUGAUUAAUAAAGAGUUUUAAAAAGCUCUUAAAAAGCA